AGAUUGAACGCUAGCGGGAUGCUUUACACAUGCAAGUCGAACGGCAGCGCGGACUUCGGUCUGGCGGCGAGUGGCGAACGGGUGAGUAAUAUAUCGGAACGUGCCCAGUAGCGGGGGAUAACUACGCGAAAGCGUGGCUAAUACCGCAUACGCCCUACGGGGGAAAGGGGGGAUCGCAAGACCUCUCACUAUUGGAGCGGCCGAUAUCGGAUUAGCUAGUUGGUGGGGUAAAGCUCACCAAGGCGACGAUCCGUAGCUGGUUUGAGAGGACGACCAGCCACACUGGGACUGAGACACGGCCCAGACUCCUACGGGAGGCAGCAGGUGGGGAAUUUUGGACAA
rnacentral:rRNA from 1 species